rnacentral:rRNA from 1 species
UGCAAGUCGAACGGUGAAGCCCAGCUUGCUGGGUGGAUCAGUGGCGAACGGGUGAGUAACACGUGAGCAACCUGCCCUCCACUUCGGGAUAAGCCUUGGAAACGGGGUCUAAUACCGGAUAUGAGCUCCUGCUGCAUGGCGGGGGUUGGAAAGUUUUUCGGUGGGGGAUGGGCUCGCGGCCUAUCAGCUUGUUGGUGGGGUAAUGGCCUACCAAGGCGUCGACGGGUAGCCGGCCUGAGAGGGCGACCGGCCACACUGGGACUGAGACACGGCCCAGACUCCUACGGGAGGCAGCAGUGGGGAAUAUUGCACAAUGGGCGAAAGCCUGAUGCAGCGACGCCGCGUGAGGGAUGACGGCCUUCGGGUUGUAAACCUCUUUCAGCAGGGAAGAAGCGCAAGUGACGGUACCUGCAGAAGAAGCGCCGGCUAACUACGUGCCAGCAGCCGCGGUAAUACGUAGGGCGCAAGCGUUGUCCGGAAUUAUUGGGCGUAAAGAGCUCGUAGGCGGUUUGUC